UGUGGCUAACCAACAACAACCGUCUGAACGAAGAUGUCCCAAGACGAGCUCAACGUGAACGGAAACCACACGUCGAGCAAAAGCGUAAAAGUUCGCUCGAUCUCGAUUUUCAAUACGAAUACGGACCGCGAAAGCGUGGCCCAUCGAUCCUUUCCGAACAGUGGCGAG
rnacentral:ncRNA from 1 species